rnacentral:rRNA from 1 species
GCUGGCGUCUUCGGCGUCCGCAUUGUAAUCUCAAGAAGUGUUUUCCGCUUCGGACCAUGCCUAAGUCCCUUGGAAAAGGGCAUCAUAGAGGGUGAUAAUCCCGUACAUGGCAUGGAGCGCCCGAGGCUUUGUGAUACGCUUUCUAAGAGUCGAGUUGUUUGGGAAUGCAGCUCAAAAUGGGUGGUAAAUGCCAUCUAAGGCUAAAUAUUGGGGAGAGACCGAUAGCGAACAAGUACAGUGAUGGAAAGAUGAAAAGAACUUUGAAAAGAGAGUUAAACAGUACGUGAAAUUGCCAAAAGGGAAGGGUAGGAGGUCAGAGAUGCGUCUUGGGAUUCAGCCUUGCUUUUGCUUGGUGUUUUUCCCAAGUUGCAGGCCAACGUCGGUUUUGGGCACUGGAGAAGGGUGGAAGGAACGUGGCACCUCUCGGGGUGUGUUAUAGCCUUCUACUGGAUACAGCGACCGAGACCGAGGACAGCAGCGUACUCGCAAGAGCGGGCCUUCGGGCACCUUUACGCUUAGGGCGUUGGCAUAAUGGCCCUCUACCACCCGUCUUGAAACCCGG